rnacentral:lncRNA from 1 species
AAAAAUUGGGUAACAGAGGGUUUUGAACUCGGUAAUCAUAUUGUGUACUUUUUCUUCUUUUCCUGUGCAUCACAUAUGUUUUUGGGGUAAAAACUCUUUUGACUCUUUUUCUACUCAAAUUUCCGAGCAUUUCAUAUCUGUUGAACUCUAAGGUCUCGGCAAGUGCAAUUUUUUCUUUUCUUAUUUUCUUUUUUUUCUUUCCGUGCCUUUCAUAUCUCUAAGGUCUCGGCAAGUGCAUUUUUUUCUUUUCUUAUUUUCUUUUUUUUCUUAUAAAGGACAUACAUACUGUUUUUCUUUUUUUUUUGUUUUUUUUUUUUUUGUUUUGUAUGAUCUCAUCUUAUGCACUUGCCUUCCCUUUCAAAAUUUUCACCCCAAACUUAUUUUCAUUGCACAUCUUGCAAUUCACACAAUCAUACCGAGUUAUGACACAAAAGGGAAUGGAUAAUUAAAAGUUAACAGGGGGUUUACGAUGAAUAAUGGUUAAACGUUAACAUGGGGUUUACAAUGAAUAAAAUGGCUAAGGCUCAACGGGGUUUACGAAGGGAAACAUACAUAUAGGGAUGGC